rnacentral:lncRNA from 1 species
UCUAACCUCUAAAUAAAUCGCUUUGCCCAAACCCUAGCGCUUAGCCUCCAUACACAAAUACUACCAGCUGUCUUUUGGUCCGUCGGCGAACCAACAUAUCAAUCGAGUCCAUGUCUGAUUAGGUAACGAAUCAACUCCAAAUCUGAUUACGUACGUGGACACUCAGCCCGGCUUACAAAUCGAGUCUCAUACGUGUACGUGCAGGUAAAUAUGUAUACGCUCUGUUCGGCUAACUGACCUUUGCUAGGCUAUCAGCUCACAUGACCAAUCGAGUACAAAUGCUUUGAGCGUUUAGAAAAAAAUAGAUAUUUUAUUACUUUUCAGGAUUAAUUACUUUUGUGAAUAAAAUAAUUCUACAAAAGU